AUUGAACGCUGGCGGCAGGCCUAACACAUGCAAGUCGAACGAGUGGCGGACGGGGGAGUAAUGUCUGGGAACCUGCCCGAUGGCGGGGGAUAACUACUGGAAACGGUAUCUAAUACCGCAUACCAUCGGAUUUGCCCAGAUUGGCUUAGCUAGUAGGUGAGGUAACGGCUCACCUAGUCGACGAUCCCUAGCUGGUCUGAGAGGAUGACCAGCCACACUGGAACUGAGACACGGCCCAGACGCCUACGGGAGGCAGCAGUGGGGAAUAUUGCACAAUGGGCGCAAGCCUGAUGCAGCCAUGCCGCGUGUAUGAAGAAGGCCUUCGGGUUGUAAAGUACUUUCAGCGGGGAGGCGUUACUCGCAGAAGAAGCACAGGCUAACUCCGUGCCAGCAGCCGCGGUAAUUC
rnacentral:rRNA from 1 species